rnacentral:rRNA from 1 species
UGCCAGCAGCCGCGGUAAUACGUGGAGGGCGAACGUUAUCCGGAUUUAUUGGGCGUAAAGGGAGUCUAGCCGGUUUGAUAAGUUUGUGUUUAAAUACUGGAGCUCAACUCCAGCCCGGCACAAAAACUGUCAGACUAGAAUUACAGAGAGAUCAGUGGAAUUCCAUGUGUAGCGGUGGAAUGCGUAGAUAUAUGGAGGAACACCAGUAGCGAAGGCGGCUGAUUGGAUGAUAAUUGACGGUAAAGCUCGAAAGCGUGGGUAGCAAACAGGAUUAGAUA